rnacentral:rRNA from 1 species
AAUACGGAGGAUGCGAGCGUUAUCCGGAUUUAUUGGGUUUAAAGGGUGCGUAGGCGGUCUUUUAAGUCAGCGGUGAAAGCCCGGGGCUCAACCCCGGCGAGCCGUUGAUACUGGGAGACUGGAGAGGAAGAGAGGCCUGCGGAAUUCGCGGUGUAGCGGUGGAAUGCUUAGAUAUCGCGAAGAACUCCGAUUGCGAAGGCAGCAUGCUGGCUUCUGUCUGACGCUGAGGCACGAAAGCGUGGGGAGCG